rnacentral:rRNA from 1 species
UACGGAGGGGGCAAGCGUUGUCCGGAUUGACUGGGCGUAAAGGGCGCGUAGGCGGAUAGUACAGUCAGGCGUGAAAUUCCUGGGCUCAACCUGGGGGCUGCGUUUGAUACGUAUUGUCUGGAGUUCGGAAGAGGGUCGUGGAAUUCCCAGUGUAGAGGUGAAAUUCGUAGAUAUUGGGAAGAACACCGGUGGCGAAGGCGGCGACCUGGUCCGAUACUGACGCUGAGGCGCGAAAGCGUGGGGAGCAAACAGG